rnacentral:lncRNA from 1 species
GGGAACUGAGAUUUUAUAACAGAAUUCACAAUUCAACUGAGCUCUAUGUAGACAGAGGGCAACUUGGUUCUAUGAUGGCAAGGGACUGAAGUUCUAUGAAGGUGGAUCUCACAGGGCUGAUGGGCUAUAUGUGGAAAUUCACAUCAUGGGAUUUCAAUAAAUUGUGUCUCCCAGCACUAUUACAUCCUGUGUGGAGAGCUGGGGAACUAGGCAACUCAGUGAAACUCUGUCUCUAAAUAAAAUACCAAAAAAUGGGUUGGGGAUUUGGCUCAGUGGUCAAGUGCCCCUGAGUUCAACCUGCAUCACCAAAAUAACAACAGCAACAACAACAAAAAACCCACAGGGAACUGCAAUUCUAGGAUGGUAGGACUAUCUGUCCUGCUAAUAUUUAUGUGGAAAGCAUUGAAUUUGAGGUUCUAUUUAUGGAAGAAUUCAUGGUCUCCUGGGGUCUACAAGAGAGACAGGUAAGUGGGUUUCUCUGGUAGCAGUGAAGCCAGAAUUAGACAGGCAAUCAGUGUAGAUAGGUAUAUGGAGUCAGAUCAGAUCAUGGAGGCCAAUUUGAGUGAGUAUGGGCAGUUGGAUAUUGUCCCCUGAGGGAUCUAAUCAAGAACCUGCCUCUGCUCCAACCGGUUACCAAGGUAACUUGUCCCAGGAAUUUCCCUUCCCUAUAGGGAGCUAUAAGGUUGUUAAUGUGUCCUUGGCUACUCUGCCCUGCCCUUCCCUCUUCAGCCCACCAGUUUCUCAACUUUUGGCCAUCUCACUGGGCAUUCCUGGGCCUAGUCACUAGGCAGGAAGGAGAAAGAUAA